UACGUAGGGCGCAAGCGUUGUCCGGAAUUAUUGGGCGUAAAGAGCUCGUAGGCGGCCUGUUACGUCUGCUGUGAAAUCCCGGGGCUUAACCCCGGGCGUGCAGUGGAUACGGGCAGGCUGGAGGCAGGCAGGGGAGAACGGAAUUCCCGGUGUAGCGGUGAAAUGCGCAGAUAUCAGGAGGAACACCGGUGGCGAAGGCGGGUCUCUGGGCCGACACUGACGCUGAGGAGCGAAAGCGUGGGGAGCGAACAGG
rnacentral:rRNA from 1 species